rnacentral:rRNA from 1 species
AUACGAAGGUCCCGAGCGUUAUUCGGAAUCACUGGGCGUAAAGGGAGCGUAGGCUGUAGGGUAAGUCAGAUGUGAAAUCUCAGAGCUCAACUCUGAAACUGCAUCCGAUACUGCCGUACUAGAGUAAUGGAGGGGUAACUGGAAUUCUCGGUGUAGCAGUGAAAUGCGUAGAUAUCGAGAGGAAGACCAACGGCGAAGGCAGGUUACUGGACAUUUACUGACGCUGAGGCUCGAAGGCUAGGGUAGCGAAAGGGAUUAGAAACCCUAGUAGUCC